GCGGGGGUGGUGGAAUAGGCAGACACACCAGCUUGAGGGGCUGACGGGAUAUGAUCCCGUGGGGGUUCAAGUCCCCCUCCCCGCACCG
rnacentral:tRNA from 1 species